GACGAACGCUGGCGGCGUGCCUAAUACAUGCAAGUUGAGCGCUGAAGGUUGGUACUUGUACCAACUGGAUGAGCAGCGAACGGGUGAGUAACGCGUGGGGAAUCUGCCUUUGAGCGGGGGACAACAUUUGGAAACGAAUGCUAAUACCGCAUAAAAACUUUAAACACAAGUUUUAAGUUUGAAAGAUGCAAUUGCAUCACUCAAAGAUGAUCCCGCGUUGUAUUAGCUAGUUGGUGAGGUAAAGGCUCACCAAGGCGAUGAUACAUAGCCGACCUGGGAGGGUGAUCGGCCACAUUGGGACUGAGACACGGCCCAAACUCCUACGGGAGGCAGCAGUAGGGAAUCUUCGGCAAUGGACGAAAGUCUGACCGAGCAACGCCGCGUGAGUGAAGAAGGUUUUCGGAUCGUAAAACUCUGUUGGUAGAGAAGAACGUUGGCGAGAGUGGAAAGCUCAUCAAGUGACGGUAACUACCCAGAAAGGGACGGCUAACUACGUG
rnacentral:rRNA from 1 species